GAGAUGUGAUGGUCUUUGGAGGCGGGGUUGUGAGAGAGUAUAUGGGGGGAAUCCCCACAGAGAGCACAAGCCCGUACUAUGAGACCAUUCCUGUUAUUGUUUCUUUAGGGCUCGAAGAAGUUGCCGAUGGGCACCCCGCAGAGAACCUGCGGGUAUUUCAGAGCUACCGCUUUUACACAGCUCUCCCCUGUGGCUACAAGCCCCCUUACAAAACCCAAAUCAAAGCAUUGAAAUCGAAAAUAGAAGAAGAAGCCGGAAAAACGAAAAUGUGGAGAAGAAAGAGAACAGAGAGGAGAUGCGGCGGAUGAGUGGAAAACCCUAGCGAGAUAUUCUCUUAAAUGGAGGUCCCAACGGUUUCUUCUAUUAGAAGGACCGAAAUGGCCUUAGCUCUUGCUCUAUGUUGGGCCAAGUCAGUGUCCAGAUAUGGAAUUGGGCCUAGCCCAACUGCAACCCACGACAUUCACAUGGUAACCAAAUCAACAGGGUGUGGUUGAUUUUUUCUUUUUUUUUUUUUCCAUUUCCUGUAUGAAACAUUGAAACUCAAGUUCUCCAUAAUUAGACCAUACAGAAUUUAGACUUAUCAGAUAAAAAAUGGAAGAAAUCCUCUUUGCCAAAUUGGAAAAAUCAGGAUUAAUUGACCCCAGAUCAACUAUGGACAUGAAACCUGUUCAAAAAAGGACAUUGAUAAUGUUGAUUGUCCCAAUUCAAAGAUUUCACUAAUGUUGAUUGUCCCAAUUCAACACCUGGUAUGAUACUAAAAUCCAGUGCAUGAUUCACUAUCAGAUAGUGGCAAAUUCUUUGCAAUGCAAACUCAAAGUUCUGAAGAAAAAGUAAAACAAUUUCCCUACUAGUACAAUUCCGGAGUUCACUGUAGAUUUCUUCUCAUGUUCUAGUAUCAUCAGGCUUCCAUUCUAUGUAAAAUAGCAAGUCCUUCAAAGUUUCUGUUUAGAAUGUUACAUGAAUGAAAGCAAUCAAGCAUGAAUCUCUAUGCCGAAAGCCAUUAAAGCAGCUAAAAGAAUCUCCCUUUUCCUAAAUCAACUUUAUAGGUAGAUGAAUUCAAGGGAAAAGAAGGGGGAAAAGAAAUCCAUAUGAGGAUAUUUAGAGUCUUGACUGCUAACUUUCUGUCCAUGUUGCCCAAGAAAAUCUACAUGUCUGCCUGGCAAUCGGCUUUGCCAUUUGCUUAACUCCUUGGAGAUAAACAAUAGGUGCAUUCGGAGAGGAAGCUCACUCGGGUUACAAGCAAGUCAACAUUUUCAACGUUCCUUGUUUUCUGACUUGCAGAAAGGACUUACAUGAGAAAGAAGGCUCCUAGAGCCCUAAAACAGGAUUAGAUGUCAUAAAGAUCCGCUGAAUCAUAUGACUUGGAAUGCUUCAUUUAGCCCUUGACACAUCAAGCUGAGAAAGGAUUAAAUGCCUUGUAUCUUAAUAAAACAGGAUCAUCGACCUAUAAUCCAUGGCUGACCCUAGUAACUCCAAGAAGCACCAAUUUCCUACCUCAGUACAUAAAAUUAGUUAAUUCUUCUUAAAAACCAAGAGAUGUCAUAAAAACAGCAAAUUGGAUAUUAAAGCAAACUCAGACAAGCAUCGGACAGAAACCAAGAAGAAAGGAAAUCUGCUAAGACCGAAUGCAUAAAAGAUAUACAAUACGAAGCAUGAAAAUGUGCACAGCACUGGUGCUAUGAAAUGUAAUAUUUAGAUUAAAUUUGUACCUUGAGAAUUUGAGUUAUCUUUAGAUAACAGAAAUACUGAAAUCCUCAUUUCACAAGCUCACGUUCUGUACUCUUGAUUACUUAUCUUUCAUAUCAAGUUCAAAUUCUAACAGGUUCGAGAAACUAGAACGAAAGAAAUAAAGAUACAAUCAGAUAAAAAGUAUGCCCAUAAUUCUACAUCAUAUUCUUCCUUUGCAAAGUAAACAUUUCCUUCUCGCAAUUGAUUCCUUCAGUAAUAUAGUGUUCUUAUCCACCACUAUUAUUCUAUGUAGCUCUUGAUCAAAUUCAUGAACAUCGAAAUCAAAAGGUUGAGAAAACAUUUUCCACCUGCAGAUCCCCAUUGUGGAUUUUAAGACCAAAAGCAUCCUAAAACUUAGCUCUUAUUGCAAAUCAAAAACAAACAAGACAUCAUAAACUCAACUACAUGUACUAAUAAAAUUAUGUAUAUGCCAUUUAUUCUUUCAUCCUCUUAGAGAAACCUAUCUCCACGCCAUGUUCUGGCAUAAAACCCAAAUUUUUGUCUGCUACAUUUCCCAAUAACAUUCUGAUCCUGUGACUGGGCAUAAAAAAUUCUGAAAUUCUUCUUCCGAAACUUCUCUACAUGUCGAGGACUCCUAUCAGAGUUGGUAGAUCCUCAGAGCAAAGCAAUAUCAUAUUUAAAUUUCAAAAGUUUUAGCUAGAGUGCUGCUCAGCACAAUCAACAAGGCAUAGUACCUUUCAUGCCAUUGCAUGGCACACCUCUAUGCUAAUACAUGCCAAGAAAUGGCAUGGUGCCCAAUGGCAUAAUAUACAUUGUUCCAAUGCCACAUCAAUACACCACCGGCAUGUAAUACCUCAGUCCAGACAGCAGUAACAAACAAUGGCCUCCUUCAAAUUCUUUAGGCUGCCUCUGGAUCCUUUCCAAAAGUCUGAGCUAACCUCUUAAAGAAUGAUAACAUACAGCUAAAACCAACCAAUAGAAGCCCCUCAAAGCAUAAAUUAUUAACCAGCUCUUCCAUGGGUCAAAUACAUGUUCUCACUAAAGCCACUCUAACAAGCCUUCGGCAAAACUCAAAAAUCCCAGCUUGAGGCCAUAAUUCGGCAAUCCCAAUGUAAGCCUUAUGGUAAACUGCUAGUUUCAUCUGCUUAGAUUCCUAAUUAGUGGUCACCAAAAUUAGUUUCCAAAAUGAUAAGACAUAGUUAUACUAAAUAAAUACAUAGUUAAUGAAAGAUAGUCAUUGUCAAAGCAAUAUUAAGUUUAUAACUACUUCACCAAGUACAAAGCUUUUGCUUGUGUUAUGGCUUAAAAUUGUGUUUCUUCACUUAAAUGUGGAAAGAUUUACCGUUCAUCAUGCAUUUAAAAGUCAAAAGGAUUCAUCCGAGAAGGAUAUUUUGAAUAGAACUGGAAACCAUUACAACUAAAUACUCUUUAUUUGUAAUUUCUAGGGUACCAAUCUCAAGUCUCAACUGCACCAGAUACAGUAGAAUUAUGUUUCCUUGAACCAAAAACGGUGGAAUUCUAAAGUCAAGUCGAUAGGUUUCAAUCCCAAAAGCAAUAGAUAAAACAAUAGCUAAGUUCAAGUAUUGAAAGGGUUUUGGGUUUUAUCUUUUGUAAGAAAUUAAUUAUCACGAAAGAAAGGAAAGGUUUGGACUUUAAAGGGAAAUAUAAAAAAUCGACGCAAAAAAUCCAAAAUUGGGCAUUGGUAACAUAUAUUGGAUUUUCGAAAGAGAUUACAGUACCUUACAAUAGAUUAUAGUAGACCGGUGCUGCAAGAUGUCUCAAACUCUUGGGGACCAAACCUCGAUGGCCAAUUCCCGAUCUCCAUCUUCUCCUCGUCACCUUUCUUUCUUUAGUUCAACACUCGUUCCCGAUUCGUUUCUCCCAUGGCUCCCUCUCCCUGUAGAUCGGGCACAGCUGUUCCACCCAUACGCUCACACAGACCGGUAAGAAAAAGAUUCAAAACCAACAAAGUCUAUCAGGAUACGUGGAGAGUGGCGUCGCCAUGGAUUCGAGAAGAAGAAGAUGAAGGAGAGGUGAAGGAGAGAAGCACGAAUGGGAUCUGGAGCGAGAUAGGAUUAUUUCCCAGCGGAAUGAAGAGAAAAUUAUACAUAGAUACCUGCCAUAAUUAAAAAUUAAUAUAUUCCUUCGUAUGUCAAGUUUCAUGUGAAGAAUAAAUUAUUUGCAGGUCCCCUCUUUGGGCUUAAAUUACUUAAACGUUGCUGACAGAUAAAAUUGAAAAUGUUUCCGGAUAAUUUUUUUUAAGAUCCCCCCCUGCAGUGCUUAAAAUAGUAAAACGCCUGUUUGGAGUAAGUUUCAAGCAUGGAUAGUGAUACUGUUUGCGGUAUGCCGCAGGCAAUCUCUAUGUUAACGUAAUUAAUAAAUUAGUUUAGCUCUUCUUUUUUCUUUGAGAAAAAUUAGGUUACUUCUUCUAAAAAUUAGUUUUAUCUCCACAAACCUUAAGGUAUAUGUUAAACUUAUAGUUCUCAUUUUAACCAAUAUAAAUCUGCAGUCAGGAGCAACUUGACUGAAUCAGCCACCCCUUUAAACAAAGUUAGUUUCCAACUUUGUGUUUGCUUGUGUUUGAGAUGUUAUCUAGAAAAUUGAUGCAGUCCAAUUGGGAAGAAUUAUGUUGAAGACUUUAGACACCUACAAUGGAACAGCAAACCAUGGAUCUUAGGUCAUCACUAGAACUCGCGACCUGAUGGAUGGAUCCUUAGCCAACGCAUCUACUUGUAUUUCAUAAAUUUGACGGGCAAUCACCUUGUGAGUGAUUAUAUACUGCACUGUUACAAGGUGAUGUUUCUUCGAAGCCACGGGAAGCCACAUAUAGCAAUCUAUAGUUUAGUGAUCAGCGAGCCCUUUUCGUAACUAAACUCUUCCUGUUCCAAUGUCCACCCUGUGAAUAACCUUUCAAUCAAUAAAUUAAAUCUUGGGGAAGUGGCUUACUUUCUCCAUUACUCCUAAAAGCCUCUCUAGUUUUUUCUGAUUUGGUUUUUGAUAAAUUGGAAGAGCACUGGGUUCAUCUUGUGGAAGCCAAUCUCUUGACUACUUACAGUGCAAUCAAAAUAACUACAAUUUUAUCUCAUACUUGGUAAUGCAUGUGGUUUAUUUCCAUGCGUGCUAAAGAUGUAUAAAUGAAACUUAGGUUCUAAUUAGAUGGAGUUCUAAGAAUAUCGAGGUUUCUGCAGGCGUUAUUUUGCAGUGCCGAACUUGUUAUGAAGUAGAUGCAGAGGAAGUGCAGUUGUCACUUUUGAGCAUUAAAAUUAUAUCUGAACUCGCAAAAGGGAAGUGCAGUCUGUUUCUACUGACACGAAUACACCCACUACACUUGCUAAGAAAUUGAUUGUUCUUCUGUAUUCGUGAACUGCAUGCAUGGCAUUUUUGUGUGCCUGCCUUUUAACGAAGUCAGCUUUUUCGACUUUCAGGCAUUAAUUUUAAAAAAAAAAAAGUAACUGUUGUACAUUGGCCAUUCAAUCGGUGUUUCAAUCGAAUUUUUCUUUCUUUCUUAGGGCUGUUGGAAGGUUAGCAAAUAGCAAAUCUGGCUACUGAAUCUUGAAUCAUGAAUUCAUGGUGAGAAAUGCUUCAGCAGCACAAUAUCCGACAUAAAAAAAAAUAGAAGGGUGAUCCAUAACUUUCCUGCUGUGGCCAAGAUUAUCACUCGGUGCAUCUGGUGCAAGAUUGUAUAAUGAGCUUGCACCGCAUUUGAACUAAGUUAAACAUGUAUGAAAAUUUUGUACCAUCUUAAUUACUAACUUAUCUACAGUUAUCACAUUAUGGUAAGUGGACAACUAUUAUGGUAAAUUGGAGAUAAUAGCGUCGAAGCACAUCCGCAUUUUCAGGCACACUACUCCCUAUCAAAUCCCCACAUGCCCUGCAUUAAACAUGGCCUUGGUUUGAUGAUAACAGACUUGACCCAAGCAAUGACUGAUUCCACUUGGAUCAGAAGAGAGUAUCGACAGAAUACCAUGCAUCAAGACAUGAGAUGCAGGAUUGUAAUAUAUACAUCACAUAGCACAAGCAACAAUGUGCUACACAUGCCAUGCAUCUUGAUGUGCAAUACCUGGUAAUGUUGCAUUUGACCAUCCAAUGAUUCAAGCCCAGUCCUCACCUAUUCCCAUCUACAUUGGCCAAGCACAUAUGACCAUUGGGCAUUGGAUAUUCCAAUUAGGAUCUAAAAGGCACCAAAAAAAGAGUCUCCUAGAGAAUUCUACUACACUUCCUACAUGACAACAUUUAUCCAUCUAUUAUUAAUAGCAAACUUCCUGGAUAAACAGCCUAUCUCACACUCCCACUUUCUUUUCUGAUAUCCCGCUUCCACCCACUUCUAUAUAUGCUCCUAUCUUACAUAAUUACCACCUGAUUGGCUUGUUGACCUCUCCUCUAUAAUAGACAGAGAGAAGGGAGGUGCAUCAGCCAAAAAGACAGUAUAUUUAUCAGAAACAUGUGAACUAAAUGAAAAUCCCAGCCAUUUGUGCUCAUAACUCUCAGCAUCCAUUCAUGCUUCCUUUCACAUGUGGUGCAUGUCCCAACAAUGUACAUAUGUUGGACAUAUACUAAUAUUUAUCAUUGCACAACUCAUUACCAAUGGAUCUGCUCAAAUGAGGCUCACUUCAUGGGGGCCAUAGAUUGGAGGCUAACUCAUUGCCAAUCUAUCUGGUUAGAUAAUUUCUCAAGUGUGGCUGACUUCAUGGGACCAUGGAUUGGAGGGCAACUCCCAUGCGAUGGCCUCUCACUUGCGCCUUUCAAAUGCCAUGGAAGAAUCCAAUGCUCGCAAAAGCGCUGACACAGUGACACACAGUGACCAAUUCAGCAAGCAGACAAAGCCGGACCCAACGUUAUGGGCCCAAAAACCCCACAUUUUGCUGCCGCCACCUUGCAGUCCGAUCACGCGCCCGCGCUCGCGUCCAUUACGAGCAGAUGCCGAGCGGCAGUCACGCGCAAGGAGUGAGGAAUUAAAAAGGCCAGUACGCUGGUGGAAAGCUAAUAGGAACUCAUCGAAAGCUCCACUCAUUUACCACUUUGAUGUUGAGGGCUUGCUCAUAAAGACUAAAGUGUGAAACUUUAGCCCCACCCUUUAAUUAUUCUCUCUCUCUCUACAAAAAAAAAAGCAAAAGUCUACACCCUUUAAUUAUGCCCUCUUCGAAGGCCUCGCUCCACCAGCUUUCUCGGCAUCAGUGUAUUGGGCUCUGCAGUUCAUUCCAUUCUUCAAGGACUCCUAGCUUGGAUUUGGAGCGCCUUAAUUGCUUUUAUUAAGAAGUUUCAAUGCCUCUUGUUCCUUUUUCUUACUGUUUUUCACAGAGUCAGAGGGAGGGAAAAAAGAGGGCCAUGGAAAAUGGGGUUGAGACUCCAAUAAAGGCAUCAGACGCAAUGCAAAUGCUAGAGGGUGGAGACCGGAGAAUAAGUUGACUCCACAUACUGUGAGAUGGAGAUGUUAUUGUUGUGCUCUUUUUUGUCCUACUAGUGAGUUCAAGAAACAAUCAUAUAAGCUCAUGAGUCAUGAGGGACAUUGGAACUCAGUUGUGAUUGGUAUUUUCUUACUCUUCGAUAGAAUUGAUGGCUUCAGAAUGAUAGCGAGUCAAUUGCUUACAGCAAGUCGUACGCUUGGCCUUUUGUCGUUCGGUGCUGCGAUGUCUGAGAGCUGGUAAAGAUAUUGUAUGCUAUACUAUACUUCUGUCCUUCUAUUUGGUUUUAAGGUUCCAAUGGAAUGCCAGCUCCAGGCUUGACCGAAAUCUUAAAAGGAUGGAAGGUGUGGUAGAACCUGUGUGUAAGGUGAUAACCUCUCCGUAAUGGCUGUUGACCAAUAGCUGAAACAUUUGUCUUGGAGUCAUGAACAUAUCACGAGAACCACAGCAUCCAUUUCAGAGCACGGCCUCAAAAUAAGAUUUAUAUAUGAUGGGGUUGUCCGAUAUUUGAACAGAAAAUACCUCGAAUAAGUGGGUCAAGUUGGAUCAGAAUCAGUAAAAUAUCAAUUUUGUAGAUCCAUCAAGUUUUUUAGGUCAAAUUGCUUCAAUAAUAAUCCUCACACAUGUGAUAAUAAAUAUAUAAAUUUGUUAUCAAAUUAUAUCUUGAACACGUAUACAAUAAAAGAGUAUAUAAUUUGUAUAUAUCAUCAAAAAUAUAUUUUACAUAAUAUUAGAUUCAUAAUCUCGUGCAGCUAAAAUUUUAUAACUCAGAUUAUUGAAUGAAAAGUAUAUAAUAAAUAAAAAAAUUAAUUUCUCGCAUUCAAGUAGGAAUCUAAGUAUCUAAGAUUGAUUCAACUCAAUUCAAGUCCAUGUUAGGAAUUUAAUAAUCCAAAACAAAUCCAUAUUGAAAGCAAGUUACCCUUUUGAUUCCAAAAUUAAUCCAAAUAACUUUGGCUCAGGCUGGAAAGAAUUAAUUUUGAAUCAGAUUUAGAUCUAUAGUACGUUAAACCGAUCCACUUGGCUGAUUGUACUUAGUAAAACAUAUAAAGUAAAAGAAAAAGUUUACAUUUUAAUAUUGCUUUCACCUCUUUCACGUACUCCAUUAAAGAAGCAAGUUUAUAUUUUUACAUUCACCUACCAAGUUACCACCAUCUCCCAAUGAUAAAUACCAUCAUAUGCACCACACCCAAAAUCCAUCCAGGCCUACAUACACCAAGUAUCAAAAUCCUCGCAACCCCUCAGCCCCGUAGCCAAGCCAGGUCUCCACAACCCCCAACCCUUUUUGGCCCUUCUUCCUUUCUCCCUCCCCAAUGCCCUCUCCAUCAAAAGCUAAAGCCUAAAGUAUAUUUUUUCUCUAAAGCCAAAAGGGAAAGCUAAAAAUAAGCCCCCCAACAUCACUCCCUCCCCUCCAAUCCCCCCAAAUUAAAGCAACCAUCACAACGAGCAUCAGUGAGCGUGAGAAAGAGAGAGAGAGAGUGAGAGAGAGUGAGAGAGACAGAAGAAACAAUGCUGGCCCAAAUCCCUCUCCUUCUCCUCCUGCUCUUCGGCCAAAUGUCUCUCCUGCCCGGCCUGCCCGUCCUGCCCGACCCCGACCCUGCCGCCAUCCAGCCGUCACUCAUCUUCCCCACCUCCUCCCCGCC
rnacentral:lncRNA from 1 species